UUUUUUUUUUUUUUUUUUUUUGAGAUGGAGUCUCUCCCUCUUGCUGGGACUACAGGCAUGCACCACCACGCCCAGUUAAUUUUUGUACUUUUAGUAGAGACAGGGUUUCACCAUGUUGGCCAGGCUGGUCUCGAUCUCUUGACCUAAUGAUCUGUCCGCCUCGGCCUCCUAAAGUGCUGGGAUUACAGGCGUGAGCCAUUGUGUCCAGCCUCAGAAAAAUGUUAAAUGGAAUUUUGAAAGGAAGAAUAUCAUCAAAAUGAAGUGAAUGAAAGAUAAAAUAAUUGCAAUUUCCUAUCAAGUUUUUUUUUUAACUAAGUAUCUUUAAAAUGAAUUCAAAACACAAAGUUAAAAAAAUUUCGAAUAAGAGGCAUAAAGGAAAAAAUAAUCUUUAUUGCUUUUGACAGAAGACGAUUCCCUAAUUAUAUUUUUGGUAGACCAUACACAUGUAAAGCUUACUUCAAUCUAAUGUGUAGGUGUUCUGGAGCUCUCCCUUUGACACAGGAGCUCUAUAAUAUUGACCGUCCCAGGAUUGUGCAAAAGAGCAGCAUCCUGCCAUUGUGCUUUUAGCAAUAAUAUGCUCUCUUUCCUUACCUUUUGAAUAUGUUCUUAUUUUCUUAUAAUAUUUUAUUCUUCCUUUUCCUUGACUAGCUGCAUAAGAUCUAUAUGGUGUAUGAUGUUUUUCUGAAAAUGGAAACCUUUUCUUCAUUUGUAUAAAAUGUCACAAGCUACCAAAUGUUUACAAGGAGAUUAGGAGGACCAGUCCCAGGCAAAUGGUGUGAGUUAAAGUAGAAACUCCUAAACCUUUCUGUCUUGAUGAGUUCUUUCCCAUCUCCUGUCAUAUAAUGUAGACAGAUGUGGUGUUUUAUUAGGAGCUAAAAAGGGGAGAAGGCUAUAAAUACUGUGAAGGAUAUGUAGAAGCUCCUUAUGACUAUGUAAAUCCAAUGAAAAGGAAAAAGCUACACCUUUGAGAUGAGAUUUAGGUAUUAUAUUAUCUCCUUGAGUGCAGAAAAAUGGUAAAUUAUAUUAUAAACCAGAUUAGUUUUUGUCUUUUUUUUAAACUACUUUAAGACAUUAAAAGGCAUUGAUUGUUGAUAGUAAAUCCCUGGAACAACUUUCAGAGAUGCUCCAGAAUCCUGCACUCAGGUGAAACCUGGAUAAAUACAUUGACACCUACAGUGGAUUGAACCUGUGAAAGUAGGACCAUGAGGGUGUCUGAUCUAAACUUCUAGCAAGAGUUAAUUUUUUAUAAAAAUCAAUUUUAUUUAUUAAUGAGCAAUGAUAGAUAAUAUAAGUUAAUAACAAAAUUUGGUUAAGCAAUGGACACAGCAAGUCACUGAACUCCCUAGAAAGACGAUCAUAUAACAAGGUCUAGAUAAGAGAAUAGUCCUACGCAAUCGUAAGAGUAAUCAUUCAUCAGUCAAUGUUGAGUACAAUUCAACAUCGGUUGUCCUACACAGUUUUGUUGAAUUGCAUAGUUUAUAGUCAUGUUACUUCAAAAUAUGUAGUUAUGUGUUUUGCUACCGAGUCACUCACUACAAAUAGACACCAUAGAUUAAUUUUUGCCAUUAAAAAUUAAAUGGCAUGUAAAAUAAUUUACAAUCUCAUAAUUUCAUCAUGGUCUCAAUAUACGAUAUGUUCUAAUUGUUUAACUUGUGAAAUUAGUAAUACUGUCAGUUCUCCUUGAAACCCAGGAUUCAUUUGUAGGAUGAGAAUAGUAGGAUAAUUUGCAAGAUGCUCGCUAGCAUUUAUCAGCAUA
rnacentral:lncRNA from 1 species